UAAGAUGGCGCCUGACAGAAA
rnacentral:piRNA from 1 species